rnacentral:rRNA from 1 species
GACAGGGGAUGCAAGCGUUAUCCGGAAUGAUUGGGCGUAAAGCGUCUGUAGGUGGCUUUUUAAGUCUGCCGUCAAAUCCCAGGGCUCAACCCUGGCCAGGCGAUGGAGACUACUAAGCUGGAGUACGGUAGGGGCAGAGGGAAUUUCCGGUGGAGCGGUGAAAUGCGUAGAUAUCAGGAAGAACACCAAUGGCGAAGGCAGCUCGCUGGGACGGUACUGACGCUGAGACGCGAAAGCGUGGGGAGCAAACAGG